rnacentral:rRNA from 2 species
GAUGAACGCUGGCGGCGUGCUUAACACAUGCAAGUCGAACGGAGUCCAUUGAUAGAAACCUUCGGGUGGAAAUUGAGAAGACUUAGUGGCGAACGGGUGAGUAACACGUGGGUAACCUGCCUUACACUAUGGGAUAACAAUGAGAAAUCAUUGCUAAUACCAUAUAAGCUUACACUACUGCAUGGUAGAGUAAGAAAAGAUUUAUCGGUGUAAGAUGGACCCGCGUCUGAUUAGCUAGUUGGUAAGGUAACGGCUUACCAAGGCGAUGAUCAGUAGCCGACUUGAGAGAGUGAUCGGCCACAUUGGGACUGAGACACGGCCCAAACUCCUACGGGAGGCAGCAGUGGGGAAUAUUGCACAAUGGAGGGAACUCUGAUGCAGCAACGCCGCGUGAAGGAAGACGGUUUUCGGAUUGUAAACUUCUAUCAGUAGGGAAAGAAAGAAAUGACGGUACCUAACUAAGAAGCCCCGGNUAACUACGUGCCAGCAGCCGCCGCCGUAAC